rnacentral:rRNA from 1 species
AACGAACGCUGGCGGCAUGCCUAACACAUGCAAGUCGAACGAGACCUUCGGGUCUAGUGGCGCACGGGUGCGUAACGCGUGGGAACCUGCCCUUAGGUUCGGAAUAACUCCCCGAAAGGGGUGCUAAUACCGGAUAAUGUCUUCGGACCAAAGAUUUAUCGCCUUUGGAUGGGCCCGCGUUGGAUUAGCUAGUUGGUAGGGUAAAAGCCUACCAAGGCGACGAUCCAUAGCUGGUCUGAGAGGAUGAUCAGCCACACUGGGACUGAGACACGGCCCAGACUCCUACGGGAGGCAGCAGUGGGGAAUAUUAGACAAUGGGCGAAAGCCUGAUCCAGCAAGGCCGCGUGAGUGAUGAAGGCCUUAGGGUUGUAAAGCUCUUUUACCCGGGAUGAUAAUGACAGUACCGGGAGAAUAAGCUCCGGCUAACUCCGUG